GGACUCGUAGCUCAGUUGGUAGAGCGCUGCGUUUACAUCGCAGAUGUCACAGGUUCGAGACCUGUCGGGUCCA
rnacentral:tRNA from 1 species